rnacentral:hammerhead_ribozyme from 1 species
AUUCGGCUGAUGAGUCCUAAAUAGGACGAGAAGCACAUCCUGGAU